AUUGAACGCUGGCGGCAUGCCUUACACAUGCAAGUCGAACGGCAGCACGGACUUCGGUCUGGUGGCGAGUGGCGAACGGGUGAGUAAUGUAUCGGAACGUACCUUUUAGUGGGGGAUAACGUAGCGAAAGUUACGCUAAUACCGCAUAUUCUGUGAGCAGGAAAGCAGGGGAUCGCAAGACCUUGCGCUGAUUGAGCGGCCGAUAUCAGAUUAGCUAGUUGGUGAGGUAAAGGCUCACCAAGGCGACGAUCUGUAGCGGGUCUGAGAGGAUGAUCCGCCACACUGGAACUGAGACACGGUCCAGACUCCUACGGGAGGCAGCAGUGGGGAAUUUUGGACAAUGGGGGCAACCCUGAUCCAGCCAUGCCGCGUGAGUGAAGAAGGCCUUCGGGUUGUAAAGCUCUUUCGGCCGGGAAGAAAUCGCAUGGGCUAAUACCCUGUGCGGAUGACGGUACCGGCAUAAGAAGCACCGGCUAACUACGUGCCAGCAGCCGCGGUAAUACGUAGGGUGCGAGCGUUAAUCGGAAUUACUGGGCGUAAAGCGUGCGCAGGCGGUUUUUUAAGACAGGCGUGAAAUCCCCGGGCUCAACCUGGGAACUGCGCUUGUGACUGGAAGGCUAGAGUAUGGCAGAGGGGGGUGGAAUUCCACGUGUAGCAGUGAAAUGCGUAGAGAUGUGGAGGAACACCAAUGGCGAAGGCAGCCCCCUGGGCCAAUACUGACGCUCAUGCACGAAAGCGUGGGUA
rnacentral:rRNA from 1 species